UUUUUGUCAGUUUACUUAACAAUUGAAAAACGUAAACUAAAUGUUUCCGGUUUUGUGCUUGGAUAUGCUGACGCAACAUAAAAAGUUUAAAGUAGCAAAAGCAAACAGGGAUUUACCUACUAUAUAGUGAAUUAUCCGGAAUUCAAAUCAAAUUGCAACAAUUCUGGUUUUGAAUUCUGGUUGCAAGCCCGCUGUAGUGAAUGCACACCAGCACUUCACUUUCACUGUUAUCAUUUUCCCAUAUGGGUUAGUGCAGAUGUAUCAAUCUACUACACAUUUAAACAUUGAAUGGGUGGAGAUUGUUGCAUAUGAGAACCUGUUCUCUUGCUUCUAGAAUUCUUUACAUGUGUUAGUCGGGCUGUUAAGGUCACAGACUCUAGAGAGCGGCCAUUUGAGGCGUUGGUGUAGAUUUGCAAGUCUUUGAGCACAUUAAAGGACCACUAUAGGCACCCAGGCCACUUCAGCUAGGAUUAACCCUUUCUUCUAUAAACAUAGCAGUUUCAGAGAAACUGUUAUGUUUACAUUAGGGUUAAUCCAGCCUCUAGUGGCAUGCGCAUUUAGCCGAUGAGGAGAAGGAGGAGAGUCCCUCGCCC